rnacentral:rRNA from 1 species
GAUGAACGCUGGCGGCGUGCUUAACACAUGCAAGUCGAACGGGAAACCUUUUAUUGAAGCUUCGGCAGAUUUAGCUGGUUUCUAGUGGCGGACGGGUGAGUAACGCGUGGGUAACCUGCCUUAUACAGGGGGAUAACAACCAGAAAUGGUUGCUAAUACCGCAUAAGCGCACAGGACCGCAUGGUCCGGUGUGAAAAACUCCGGUGGUAUAAGAUGGACCCGCGUUGGAUUAGCUAGUUGGCAGGGUAACGGCCUACCAAGGCGACGAUCCAUAGCCGGCCUGAGAGGGUGAACGGCCACAUUGGGACUGAGACACGGCCCAGACUCCUACGGGAGGCAGCAGUGGGGAAUAUUGCACAAUGGGGGAAACCCUGAUGCAGCGACGCCGCGUGAAGGAAGAAGUAUCUCGGUAUGUAAACUUCUAUCAGCAGGGAAGAUAGUGACGGUACCUGACUAAGAAGCCCCGGCUAACUCCGUG